rnacentral:pre_miRNA from 1 species
AGAUAGCAUUGUAUUGCUAUUCUUGGCCAAUAACACAAUGAUAUGUGGAAAAGUUAUCCUACGUGUCAUUGUGUUAUUGGCCUGAUAUAGCAAAAAGUGUUAUCUCC